rnacentral:rRNA from 1 species
AUGCCGCACAAGAACACCAUGGCCUCCCUUGUCUUCCUCAUGGCGCUGCUGCUCUCAUGCAGCUCCAUGACCAGCGCAGCACGGCACCUAGAGGAGGCCUUGCCCAAGGAGUAUCCACCACAUCCGAUCGUCCCGGAGCUGCCAAAGCCCCAACUCCCGCCGCACCCUGCCGUGCCCGAGCUGCCGGAGCCUGAGCCACCGCACCCUCUCGUGCCCGAACUGCCACACCCCAUGGUGCCAGAGGUGCCAAAGCAUGAACUGCCACCGCACCCUCUCGUGCCCGAAGUGCCACACCCCAUGGUGCCAGAGGUGCCAAAGCAUGAACUACCACCGCACCCUGCUGUGCCCGAGCUCCCGAAGCCUAAAGUGCCGCAUCCGGCUGUGCCCGAGGUGGCAAAGGAGCCUGAAGUGCCACACCCAAUCGUACCAGAGGUGCCAAAUAAGCAUGAACAGCCGCACCCCAUGGUGCCCGAGGUGCCAAAGCAUGAACUGCCGCCGCACCCUGUUAUGCCCGAGCUCCCCAAGCCUGAACUGCCGCAUCCGGUUGCCGAGGUGCCAAAGGAGCACGAACUGCCGCACCCCAUCGUGCCAGAGGUGCCAAAGGAGCACGAGCUGCCGCACCCUGCCAUACCAGAGUUGCCGAAGACUGAAAUGCCACACCAUGCCGUGCCAGAGGUGCCAAAGGAGCCCCAUGUGCCGCACCCUGAGGUGCCAGAGGUGCUGAAGGAGCCCGAGUUACCGCACCCUGCUGUGCCAGAGGUCCCGAAGCAUGAAAUGCCGCCGUUCCCCAAGGCCGAGCUGCCCCCGAAGCCCGAACUUCAUUUUCUGGAGCCAGAGGCCAAGCCAUGA